AGUGAACGCUGGCGGUAGGCCUAACACAUGCAAGUCGAACGGCAGCACAGUAAGAGCUUGCUCUUACGGGUGGCGAGUGGCGGACGGGUGAGGAAUACAUCGGAAUCUACUUUUUCGUGGGGGAUAACGUAGGGAAACUUACGCUAAUACCGCAUACGACCUACGGGUGAAAGCAGGGGAUCUUCGGACCUUGCGCGAUUGAAUGAGCCGAUGUCGGAUUAGCUAGUUGGCGGGGUAAAGGCCCACCAAGGCGACGAUCCGUAGCUGGUCUGAGAGGAUGAUCAGCCACACUGGAACUGAGACACGGUCCAGACUCCUACGGGAGGCAGCAGUGAGGAAUAUUGGACAAUGGGCGCAAGCCUGAUCCAGCCAUACCGCGUGGGUGAAGAAGGCCUUCGGGUUGUAAAGCCCUUAUGUUGGGAAAGAAAAGCAGCAGGUUAAUACCCCGCUGUUCUGACGGUACCCAAAGAAUAAGCACCGGCUAACUUCGUG
rnacentral:rRNA from 1 species